rnacentral:misc_RNA from 1 species
AAGCCGAUUUUGAUGAGAGUUUCACUGGAAGUUUGCCGGGAAAACUUUGUGACAAACUGAUUUCAACGCGGGCGAAGCCGCGGGCACAGCUAGUAAUAUAUAUAAACGCGAAAGGUCAUUCAUCACGAAAUCUCCGAAACUAUAACACCUACAAACUUGAAAUUUGGCAAGUAGGCUCCUUAUAGGACGUAGACAUCCGCUAAGAACGGAUUUUACGAAACUCAACCCCUAAGGGGGUAAAAUGGGGGUUGGAAGUUUGUAUGAGAGUCCCAUGUUUUUGACGUAAGAGACUUGAAAUUUAAAAUGUAAGCUCUAUAGAUAGAUGGUAACAAGGUGUUCAAAUAAUGAAUCUUUAGAAAUCAACUCCCUUUUGGGGUUAAAACGGGG